rnacentral:misc_RNA from 1 species
UCUAAGGAAUUAAUCGGAAACCUGCACAUUCGUUGAAACUGCGUUCAGUUUUGAGGGGUCUACCCUCACUUGUACUUUGAAAACUAAAUAAUAUUUAUUUCUUUAUUCACAUUAAACCGAAACACCGCGUUAUUUGAUUUUAUUAACAAAUUAAUCCAUACUCAA